UUAAUAUGGCAGAUAG
rnacentral:tRNA from 2 species